rnacentral:lncRNA from 1 species
GGUGAUGACAGUGUUAUUGCCUUUUUAGUUCUUUGUCCAAACUAACAAGUCCAAGAGGAAAGCCUAAGUUGGUCAGCUCCUGAUGCAGCCACCAUCCUGCAAGUUAUUGCCAAGAUUUUUCAAAACACUUGUAUUUACCUAAAGGACAAUGUGCUUUAUUUAUUGUUAUUUCUUAAGUGCCUAGGAUAAUUCUUGGUGCACACAUAGGGCAGACACAUAAAAACAUUUGAGAAUGAAUAAAGUCCUCAUAAUGGAAGAUGUACUUGGCCCAAGACCAAGACAUAAUUUAGGAGCAAAUUAUAACUCCUGGAUUUGCUUCAUCAGCACUGCGAAAGCUACAAGGAAAGUGAAAUUGGGUUUAGACAAUGACCAAUGAGCCAAAUACUCUAUAAGAUGUACUUAUUUGGUUGGCUCAAGGUUGGG